UACAGGGGGUGCAAACGUUGCUCGGAAUCAUUGGGCGUAAAGCGCACGUAGGCGGUUCGUUAUGUCGGAUGUGAAAGCCCUUGGCUUAACCGAGGAAGUGCAUCCGGAACUGGCGAGCUAGAGUACUAAAGAGGAUCGCGGAAUUCCCGGUGUAGAGGUGAAAUUCGUAGAUAUCGGGAGGAACACCGGUGGCGAAGGCGGCGAUCUGGGUAGAUACUGACGCUGAGGUGCGAAAGCGUGGGGAGCAAACAGG
rnacentral:rRNA from 1 species